rnacentral:rRNA from 1 species
GUGCAAGUCAUUGAGUUAUAUUAAACUUAAUGGCAUAAUUAACUUAACUUAAAAUAAUAAUGGGAUUAAUUUUUUGUCUAUUUUCUUUAAAUAGUCAAUUAAUUCAAUCCCGGGGCGUUCCAUAUAGUUAUGUAUAAUAAUAAUUUAUUAUUAUUUAUACCUCUAACUGGAGCGUACCUUGAGCAUAUAUGCUGUGACCCGAAAGAUGGUGAACUAUACUUGAUCAGGUUGAAGUCAGGGGAAACCCUGAUGGAAGACCGAAACAGUUCUGACGUGCAAAUCGAUUGUCAGAAUUGAGUAUAGGGGCGAAAGACCAAUCGAACCAUCUA